rnacentral:rRNA from 1 species
CCUACGGGGGGCAGCAGUGGGGAAUAUUGCACAAUGGGGGAAACCCUGAUGCAGCGACGCCGCGUGAGUGAAGAAGUAUUUCGGUAUGUAAAGCUCUAUCAUCAGGGAAGAAAAUGACAGUACCUGACCAAGAAGCCCCGGCUAACUACGUGCCAGCAGCCGCGGUCAUACGUAGGGGGCAAGCGUUAUCCGGAUUUACUGGGUGUAAAGGGAGCGUAGACGGAUAUGUAAGUUUGGAGUGAAAGCCUGGGGCCAAACCCCGGGACUGCUUUGGAAACUGUGUAACUUGAGUACAGGAGGGGAAGGCGGAAUUCCUGGUGUAGCGGUGAAAUGCGUAGAUAUCAGGAAGAACACCGGCGGCGAAGGCGGCCUGCUGGACUGAAACUGACGUUGAGGCUCGAAAGCGUAGGGAGCAAACAGGAUUAGAUACCCUUGUAGUC